GGUGCGUAAUACGGUCAAGGUCAAUUUUGAUCUGUUUAAGUUAUCUGCCUAUUUUGAUCUUCUAUUUCUAGACCAUAUUUUUACCAAAGGUUUUGCCCACCUCCAUCCCCUUUCCUGCCUCCUUUUAUGAUUGAUAUAUAUACAGUGCACUCUGUCUAAACCGGACACCUUUUGGACCAGUAAAUAAGGCCGGUUUGUAGAGAGUUCCGGAUUGUAGAGAUUCUACUUGAUAUCGUCGUUGAAUGCAAAAAAA